rnacentral:rRNA from 1 species
GAGUUUGAUCAUGGCUCAGAUUGAACGCUGGCGGCAGGCCUAACACAUGCAAGUCGGGCGGUAGAGAGAAGCUUGCUUCUCUUGAGAGCGGCGGACGGGUGAGUAAUGCCUAGGAAUCUGCCUGGUAGUGGGGGAUAACGCUCGGAAACGGACGCUAAUACCGCAUACGUCCUACGGGAGAAAGCAGGGGACCUUCGGGCCUUGCGCUAUCAGAUGAGCCUAGGUCGGAUUAGCUAGUUGGUGAGGUAAUGGCUCACCAAGGCGACGAUCCGUAACUGGUCUGAGAGGAUGAUCAGUCACACUGGAACUGAGACACGGUCCAGGCUCCUACGGGAGGCAGCAGUGGGGAAUAUUGGACAAUGGGCGAAAGCCUGAUCCAGCCAUGCCGCGUGUGUGAAGAAGGUCUUCGGAUUGUAAAGCACUUUAAGUUGGGAGGAAGGGCAGUAAAUUAAUACUUUGCUGUUUUGACGUUACCGACAGAAUAAGCACCGGCUAACUCUGUGCCAGCCG